AGUGCCUCCGCUGACUGGUUGAUGUGCCCUUGGAAGUGGCUUUUUAAAAAACUUAGUCAACCACGAAAAAUUGUCAUCAGUCCCUCCUCCCAAACCCUUGUGGGAACUCUCUCCCGUAUCUGCAUCCCGUACUGUGGGCCUAAGGUAGAAGAAACCCGGUCAUUGCUAGUGUCUUCUUCCAUUGACGAAAAGGAUAUGAAAUUCACCAGGAAAGGGGCUGGUUCUCCUGGACUCUGCUGAUGUGUGACCCUAAAGCAAAAACGUUCAGAAGCAAAGUGGAAUUGAGGUUUCUCAAGAGGCAGGCAGGAAUUCCAGUUGAG
ensembl:lncRNA